UUCGGGGAGCCUAUACAGGUUGUUGCAUGGCUGUCGUCAGCUCGUGUCGUGAGAUGUUCGGUUAAGUCCGCUAACGAGCGCAACCCUCGUCGUAUGUUAUAUGUGUCAUACGAGACUGCCGGUAAAAGCCGGAGGAAGGUGAGGAUGAUGUCAAGUCAGCAUGACCUUUAUAUCCAGGGCUACACACACGCUACAAUGGUCUGUACAAUGGGUAGCCAAGCCGCGAGGCGGAGCCAAUCCUGAAAGCAGGCCUCAGUUCAGAUUGCAGUCUGCAACUCGACUGCAUGAAGCCGGAGUUGCUAGUAACCGCAGGUCAGCAAUACUGCGGUGAAUACGUUCCCGGGCCUU
rnacentral:rRNA from 1 species